rnacentral:piRNA from 1 species
CAGUACAUUUAUUCUUUGGUACCUGC